AGGGUUUGAUUCUGGCUCAGGAUGAACGCUGGCGGCGUGCCUAACACAUGCAAGUCGAGCGAAGCACUUUGCUUAGAUUCUUUCGGGAUGAAGAGUGAUUUGACUGAGCGGCGGACGGGUGAGUAACGCGUGGGUAACCUGCCUCACACAGGGGGAUAACAGUUAGAAAUGACUGCUAAUACCGCAUAAGACCACAGCACCGCAUGGUGCAGGGGUAAAAACUCCGGUGGUGUGAGAUGGACCCGCGUCUGAUUAGCUAGUUGGUAAGGUAACGGCUUACCAAGGCGACGAUCAGUAGCCGACCUGAGAGGGUGACCGGCCACAUUGGGACUGAGACACGGCCCAA
rnacentral:rRNA from 1 species